rnacentral:rRNA from 1 species
GGAUUAGAUACCCUGGUAGUCCACGCCGUAAACGAUGUCUACUAGCCGUUGGGGGACUUGAUCUUUUAGUGGCGCAGCUAACGCGAUAAGUAGACCGCCUGGGGAGUACGGCCGCAAGGUUAAAACUCAAAUGAAUUGACGGGGGCCCGCACAAGCGGUGGAGCAUGUGGUUUAAUUCGAAGCAACGCGAAGAACCUUACCAACUCUUGACAUCCAGAGAACUUGCUAGAGAUAGCUUGGUGCCUUCGGGAACUCUGAGACAGGUGCUGCAUGGCUGUCGUCAGCUCGUGCCG